rnacentral:ncRNA from 2 species
CUUCUCUGUUUCGGGAGCUUGCUGUUUGCAGGCUGAGAGGAAUCGAACGAACGAUUCGACCGUUUCACCUGAUUUGGAUAAUGCCAACGCAGGGAAUCCCAGGGCAUCGCUU